rnacentral:lncRNA from 1 species
AUGUGGAACAGUAAAAUCUUUUUUGUCAAGCCUCCAAGACCAAAUAGCACCAGAGAUGAAAUUUUGAAUAUGAUCAAGACAUUUCAGUUUGAAUAUCAUAUCAAACCAAAACUUGAAUGACAGAAGGCAACAAGUUCAUCCUAGAGGAGCAUUUAUAGGAAGACAGAAUGUCCUGCUUGACAACAAGAAAAAAAUAAUUGACAGCAUAUUUCCUUUACCACUUUGAGCAUGUUCAAGGUUGGUGGGGUUUUUUAUUAUUUUACUUUUCUACCACAUAUUAUUUGCGGAAAUAUAUUUCAUUCAUUGCCUGUUGCCAGUUGAGCUCUAACAUAAGAGCUUCACAAUCAAUGAUUGGUCUUGAGUCCUUCAGUGUCUGAUUUGUCAAUCUGUGAUCCUUUUAUUUUUGAAAGGUAGCUACUCAGUGUUUCAUAAAAUUGUCUGCACUUCAUAUUGUAUCAAUUUCAGCAGUUGGAAGUACAGGUACUGAAAACUCACUAAUUGCUUUUAUAAAAAUGGGCUGGUGAACAAUACAUUUUUAAAACAACAGGAAAAUAAAAAGGAAAACACUUUGUGAUUGUUCUUUAUG